AGGAAAAUAGUUAAAAAUAUAAAUAUAACAUUUGAUUUGCAUUCAAAAAUUAUUAAAACAUUAAUUUUUCUUA
rnacentral:tRNA from 1 species